AGUUUGAUCAUGGCUCAGGAUGAACGCUAGCGGCAGGCUUAAUACAUGCAAGUCGUGGGGCAGCAGGUUUGUAGCAAUACAGAUGCUGGCGACCGGCAAACGGGUGCGGAACACGUACAGAACCUUCCUUUGAGCGGGGAAUAGCCCAGAGAAAUUUGGAUUAAUACCCCAUAGUAUAAUGAAGUGGCAUCACUUUAUUAUUAAAGAUUUAUCACUCGAAGAUGGCUGUGCGGCUGAUUAGGUAGUUGGCGGGGUAAAGGCCCACCAAGCCUGCGAUCAGUAACUGGUGUGAGAGCACGACCAGUCACACGGGUACUGAGACACGGGCCCGACUCCUACGGGAGGCAGCAGUAAGGAAUAUUGGUCAAUGGAGGCAACUCUGAACCAGCCAUGCCGCGUGGAGGAUGAAGGUCCUCUGGAUUGUAAACUUCUUUUAUAUGGGACGAAAAAAGGCUUUUCUAAGUCGUCUGACGGUACCAUAUGAAUAAGCACCGGCUAACUCCGUG
rnacentral:rRNA from 1 species